GCCGAUGUAGCUCAGUUGGUAGAGCACGUCCAUGGUAAGGACGGGGUCGUCGGUUCAAUUCCGACCAUCGGCUCCA
rnacentral:tRNA from 1 species